rnacentral:rRNA from 1 species
AUUCCAGCUCCAAUAGCGUAUAUUAAAGUUGUUGCAGUUAAAACGCUCGUAGUCGGAUUUCGGGGCCUGCCUGCCGGUCUGCCGAUGGGUAUGCACUGGCAGGCGCGUCCUUCCUUCCGGAGACUGUCCCUACUCUUAACUGAGCGGGGUCGGGAGACGGAUCGUUUACUUUGAAAAAAUCAGAGUGUUUCAAGCAGGCAGCUCGCUCUUGCAUGGAUUAGCAUGGGAUAAUGAAAUAGGACUUUGGUGCUAUUUUGUUGGUUUCGAACACCGAGGUAAUGAUUAAUAGGGAUAGUUGGGGGCAUUAGUAUUUAAUUGUCAGAGGUGGAAUUCUCGGAUUUGUUAAAGACUAACUUAUGCGAAAGCAUUUGCCAAGGAUGUUUUCAUUA